rnacentral:tRNA from 1 species
GGGGCGUAGUCCAGUUGUUAGAACGCCUACCUCUCACGCAGGAGGCCGCGGGUUCCAGUCCCGCCGCUCCGCCA